AAGCACACCCUCUGUGCUUUCUGUGCAUGCGUGUCUGGCCUUGCCUGCCUUUUCGGUUUUCGGUGUGAGCUUCAGGAGCGUGGGGGUGUAUCAGGUACAACGAGGAAAAUGGUGUGGAGGUGAUGGCCGGCGCCCAGCAGCCACCUUAGACCAUGAGUUCACCCUGUGGAUGGAGGCCAUGUGCUGAGGAACCAGAAAGCUAAGACCCUGGAUCCUUGAUGACAGUCGGAGUCACCGUACUUUCUCCAGGUUGCCUACCUCUGACUUAAUGUAUAAGAGAGAACCUUGGUAUAAAAAAGAGAGGA